AUACUUACCUGGCAGGGGAGAUACCAUGAUCACAAAGGUGGUUUUCCCAGGGUGAGGCUUGUCCAUUGCACUCCGGAUGUGCUGACCCCUGCGAUUUCCCCAAAUAAAAAAAAUUUAAUUUGUGCUUCUCUUUUUUUUUUUUCUUGCAUAGGCACAGU